CCUACGGGUGGCAGCAGUGGGGAAUAUUGCACAAUGGGCGCAAGCCUGAUGCAGCCAUGCCGCGUGUGUGAAGAAGGCCUUCGGGUUGUAAAGCACUUUCAGCGGGGAGGAAGGCGGUGAGGUUAAUAACCUCAUCGAUUGACGUUACCCGCAGAAGAAGCACCGGCUAACUCCGUGCCAGCAGCCGCGGUAAUACGGAGGGUGCAAGCGUUAAUCGGAAUUACUGGGCAUAAAGCGCACGCAGGCGGUCUGUCAAGUCGGAUGUGAAAUCCCCGGGCUCAACCUGGGAACUGCAUUCGAAACUGGCAGGCUAGAGUCUUGUAGAGGGGGGUAGAAUUCCAGGUGUAGCGGUGAAAUGCGUAGAGAUCUGGAGGAAUACCGGUGGCGAAGGCGGCCCCCUGGACAAAGACUGACGCUCAGGUGCGAAAGCGUGGGGAGCAAACAGGAUUAGAUACCCGAGUAGUC
rnacentral:rRNA from 1 species